rnacentral:rRNA from 1 species
AGCAGCCGCGGUAAUUCCAGCUCCAAUAGCGUAUAUUAAAGUUGUUGCAGUUAAAAAGCUCGUAGUUGAAUUUCGAGACCGGCUUACUGGUCGUGCUAUUGUACGUACUGGUAUAAUCGGUUUCUCCUUUCUGACGAACUAUAAUGCCAUUAAUUUGGUGUUUUAGGGAAUCAGGAUUGUUACUUUGAAAAAAUUAGAGUGUUUAAAGCAGGCUCACGCUUGAAUACAUUAGCAUGGAAUAACGGAAUAGGACGUUUGAUUCUAUUUUGUUGGUUUCUAGGAUCGACGUAAUGAUUAAUAGGGAUAGUUGGGGGCAUUAGUAUUCAAUUGUCAGAGGUGAAAUUCUUGGAUUUAUUGAAGACUAACUACUGCGAAAGCAUUUGCCAAGGAUGUUUUCAUUAAUCAAGAACGAAAGUUAGGGGAUCGAAGACGAUCAGAUACCGUCGUAGUCUUAACCAUAAACUAUGCCGACUAGGGAUCGGAUGAUGUUAAUUUUUUAAUGACUCAUUCGGCGCCUUAC